rnacentral:rRNA from 1 species
GAGUUUGAUCCUGGCUCAGAAUGAACGCUGGCGGCAUGCCUAACACAUGCAGGUCGAACGAAGCCUUCGGGCUUAGUGGCGCACGGGUGCGUAACGCGUGGGAAUCUGCCCCUCGGUUCGGAAUAACAGUUGGAAACGACUGCUAAUACCGGAUGAUGACGAAAGUCCAAAGAUUUAUCGCCGAGGGAUGAGCCCGCGUAGGAUUAGCUAGUUGGUGUGGUAAAAGCGCACCAAGGCGACGAUCCUUAGCUGGUCUGAGAGGAUGAUCAGCCACACUGGGACUGAGACACGGCCCAGACUCCUACGGGAGGCAGCAGUGGGGAAUAUUGGACAAUGGGCGAAAGCCUGAUCCAGCAAUGCCGCGUGAGUGAUGAAGGCCUUAGGGUUGUAAAGCUCUUUUACCCGGGAUGAUAAUGACAGUACCGGGAGAAUAAGCUCCGGCUAACUCUGUGCCAGCAGCCGCGGUAAUACGGAGGGAGCUAGCGUUAUUCGGAAUUACUGGGCGUAAAGCGCACGUAGGCGGCUUUGUAAGUUAGAGGUGAAAGCCUGGAGCUCAACUCCAGAAUUGCCUUUAAGACUGCAUCGCUUGAAUCCAGGAGAGGUGAGUGGAAUUCCGAGUGUAGAGGUGAAAUUCUAGAUAUUCGGAAGAACACCAGUGGC